AAUUGUUGGAAUCUGGGAGAGUGUCGGGAAGAGUAUCACAUCUUCUUGCCCUGUCCCUGUUCUGCUCCAGGCAGUUGCUCCUGGCCGCUCUGGAGACACAACAUGGACUAGAAGGACUCUUGGGCCAGACUUCUGCUGCUCCCUGUGGAAACCAUUUUGACUGUGUCUGGAGCCCUGCAGACACCUUCGUGGGAGUGCUCUCAUUUGCACAGGUGCCGGCCAGCCUUUACUGGGAGGUGCAGCCAAGGCAGGAGGUGCGGCUGCUCUGUCUACAGCCUCUUGUUACGCAGAUGGGAGCUGAUACGGAGCCCCAGGAUUUGAGUUGGCUCAGGCAGCUGGAGCUAUGUUGCAAGAAGCUGGAAACGCAAAGCUCAGCCUGGGUCAUAGUCCAGAGCAUUGGGAAUGGAUUGCCAGUGGGCUGCAGUAAGAGGUUGCCCAAGGCCUUUGAGACUCUAAAGCCAUUACUUCUCCCAACUGCUGUGAGGCGCAGUCCUCUCCUGAAUCCUGCCCUCUGCCCUGCCGAGGUCUGCCAGGGCACUGGACACCGGGGAUCGGGGAUCUGCUGGCGGACUUGAUCAGUGUCCGCAUCGCUGCUCUCUGUCUGUCCUCCCCACAGCUGUUUGCAAUGUGCCACUGGUGGCAGCUGAAGGUGAAGGGAGAGCUGCCCACCUGCCUGGACGGAGCUCAGACUGAAGACCUUCCCUGUGGUGUUGUCAAGCACUGUGACUGCAGAGCCACUGAGGCUGAUCCAGGACAUUGUCAUCUCUCCUGUGUCUCCUGAAGCUAUCCCCGGAACUUCUGGGAAGGGCUGAGCUAGUGGGUGCCCACCACCCUGUUGUCAGACCCUCUUGCUUUUGCAUAGCCUGGCCGGAGGCAGAGGUGUGGGGCUUGGGCUUGCUGUGCUGUGGAGAUUGAGCUGGGCUGCAGCUGUGCCACUGGCUGCAGAUGCUUCUGCAUGGCACAGUGCAAAGCAGCGGUACCCUCAGGUGCCUGCUGCUUGCUCUGUCCCUGGCAGAUGGGGAGGGGUGCUGGCUCCGGGGGAGCUGUGCCAGGACAUGUUUCCAGGCCUGAGGUGGGAGUGUUUCUGAUCGAUGCAGUUUGUUUCAGAGGUGACGGAGCACUCACUGCAGGAGCAGACUGAAGCUGGUGGGCACAGGGACAGCCAAGCUGGUGAAGCAAGACAUUUUAAAUGCUUUCAUCCCAGCUCUCUGCAGUCUGUGCCUUGCCAGGAGCUGCUCUCUGUUUUCAGUUAGCUUUGUAACUGUGUUAGGUCCCAGUAAACAAGAGCUUUCCAAGUAUUUUGCCGGAGCCAAGGCAGCUCUGGGCAUCUUAGCCGUGUCUCUGGGGAUGGGGCUGCUGCGUUCUGCUGGCACCAUGACACAGCUGCUCUACACCUUGGCUUUGGGGAUCCCCAACACCUUCUCUGGGGAGACUGAGCCAGGGGUCUGGCUGCGGAGAGGGAGAGGGCAGUCCCCUGACUGCCACCUUGGAGAGCAGGAGUGCUCUCAGCCUGGGUUGGACACUCUUAGCACAGCUCUACUCCCUCUGCACGUUUCCUGCUCUUUUCUCACUCCAUUUACACCACAGAGAGAGGACAAAGGACCAUGAGGAGUUAGAAGAGGUAACAGAGCUGAGCACCCAGGUCCACCAAGCCCCACCAGCCUUCUCAGCCUCAGGUUCCCUCAUCUUCCGUGGUACCCCCUCAUGCUCAGAGAGCUGCCAGUGUCAGACCCUGCUUGCACCCAGCUUCCCCAUCCUGGCCUGGCUCCUGUCCUGAAUAUAUUUUUACAUUUUAUGACUCUCAGAGGUUUUUAAAUUUAAUGGGUUCUUUUUUUUCUUUCUUCCUUCUUAUCACCUGAGCUGGAUCCUCUCUGAGCUGCUGCCAGCUCCAGGGAUUACAAGUGAAUAAUUUAGGUCUGAUGGUGUGUUUGAAGUUUAAGAGAAGGAAGUGGCAUGUGUAGCCUGCUCCUCAUUCCUGCCCCAGGGCCAUGGUGCAGGGGCUGCUGCUGUUUCUCCAAAGGCAAUUUCAAAGAUUCCCUAAGGAGCCACACUCUGAACAUUGCAUGGCCCUGCGAAGGCAUAGCCUUCCAGAUCUGGCCUGGAGGUCAAGGGUCCCAGGGCACCACAGGGGCAAUUGGCUCAUUUUCACGUAGCUGCCCGUAACGGCUGCUGCUCUGCAAUGAGGCGGCUCCGCAGCACCAGCACUGGAGGAUCACUGUGUGUGCCAUGGACUGAACCACAGCAUCAUGCCUGGGUGAGGGACUCGGAGUCUUGCUUGCCAGCCCAGGGCCAGGAGGCGUUAAAUGCUAAACCAGUGUGUGUGUCUUGGCAGCUCUGAAGCACAGUGAAGCCGGCAAUGGGCAAACAUGACCUGCUGGAGAGCUGACUUAAGGGCUAGCUGCUGCUGGGCGAAAGGAGAUGCCUCUAGGGUCACCAGCCUGUUGUCUCCAGAUACUGGUGGAGGAAGGAAGGACUUGCGGUGUGCUGAGCAAUGGCAAUGCAGAGCUUUUGGCUGACCUGCUCAUCUUUGCUGAGUGCAGAGCACACCGCUGCUUGACUCUCUCAGGGUGCAUUGAACCACAGGGUGCAGAAGCAGAUGAGACUUCCCUCCCCAUGUCCCAGGGGAUGUGUGCUGCCUUCAGUGGUCUCUGUAGUCUGUGCUUGCACAAUGUCAAGUGUUGCUAGUUCUCAGGACAGGGGGCACAGAAAGAUACUCUGGGAAAUUAUUUUUAACCCCCUGCAAUUCACUGUUCCGAAAGCUAAGUCACUUCUGUUAGGGCUGGUUCAGUAGCAACCCCAAUGGAGACAAUCUUUUCCUCAUACAUAUGCUUCUCUUUGCCAAGUGGCUCUGACAAAAUUUAAGUACGGACUUUAGUGAUUUCCAGGAGCUUUUGGAAGAACUAACAAGCAUGUCACAGGGUCCAGCAUUAAAUCCUUCCCUGCCGGGAUGCAGUAGAAAACGGAAACUGUCAGGCAGUUUGAGAUCCACUUAACAGCAAUUAGUGCAAAUGAAAGAAGCACUAACGCGAAAGCCCUAGUCUCUGUGCUUCGGGUGGGAGGAGGAAAAGAAUGUGUAAGAGAAAAUGUAAACAUGAAAAAAUGUGGCUGUGUAUUCCACAAAACAAUGAAUCAUUUUAACAUUUCCAAUCCUUUUCACGCAAGCAGAAACAGUUGAUCAAUAUGUGACAGAAUUAAAGACCUGCAGUAAAACCUUGGAGCUGAGGAUCUGUGAGAAUUGUGAACACACAGACUAAUCUGCAGAAUUCCGCAUACAGCGUAAAAGGAAAGGCAAGUGUAGGUACAAGAGCCAGAAGCUGCAACAGCAGAAGUCUGCUGGGCAAGAGGACUCCUCUGCCCACCCAAAGGAGCACCCAUUGGAGGGGAGAAACCAUCACUGGCAAUGGAUAUGGAGCACCUACAGAAAGUAGGUGUAUUUCCCAGAAAACUCCAAGUUACAACAAAUGUGGCCCUAAACCAUAUCCUCAUAAAAGCCUGCAAGAUGAGAUUCAGAAUGUGUAUUCAUAAAAACUGCAGCCAUAGCCAUGGCUCUGGAGGACUUUCAGCCAGUAGGAGCAUCUCAUAGACUUUACCCUGUGAAGUGCUGAAAACAGUCAAGAGAUGCCAUUCUAUGAUCCUAUGCCACAGCUAACUUCAAGACAAAGAAUUUCAAGGUAGGUUAGGAGGAUGGUAUCCCUGGAAAAAGGAAAAGCAGGUGUACAACAGCUAAACAGGUGAGUACUUAGUUAUGUGCACAAAGGGUGAGCUGGACUAUGUUUGAAUCUAUUCUAAAAAUACCUGUACUGGGCCAUUUGAAAAGUAUUAGGGAAGACACAAUUGCACAGUUUGAAAAUACUAACAUUUUUAGAAAGUUAGGAUCAUUCUCUGGAUCCUGGUAAUUGAGUGAACAGAGAGGCUCAACAUGAUGCACUUACAACAUGUCUUUUGGGAUGUUCAGGUUCCUGCAGUUGCACUUUGGAAAAGCUGUAGAAGCUUAUCAUAUACACAGAGAAGCCUGCUACUGGCAACAGCAGAACAAUAAAUGGCACAAGGAAAGCAUAACUCUAAAGAGAACUGAGUACAACAGGGGCUGCCAAGGGGAUGAAGGACGCCAGGGUAUUGACUGGAUAUGCACAUAUAUUGUCUGUUAAAAGCAGUGGAUCUAACAGUGGUGGUGGCUGAGCAGGAUUUGAGUCAGAGAGGACUGGGCAUGAUGAGAGAUAAGCAGAGCUGGGUCUGGUGCUGCACCUUCUAGAUGUAGGCACUGGACAGGGCUUCCUUUCCCUUCGGUGCAGGAGGGCUCUGCUGGUCCCUCCCAACCAUAUUAUGGUGGUCUUCCCAAUCCAGAGCAUGUAUCCUUCAGAGUGCUGGACUCGGCACUAGUGUACUCCAGAAGUGGCCAGAUCACCCUGCCUUUCUGGGAUGUGAGUCCAAAAACCAUCCUAAUACCAGAAAUAAACUGUUUUCCAGCUUACAUCCUCUCCGCAGCUUUUUGCAGCCGAUUGUAGCUUUCACUGUACCACAGUUCUCCCACCAUUGUUUUGGGAAGAUUACGAUUGCUUUGAGCCCUGUUUCUCUCUGCUCUCGGCUGGUGUCAGGGCCACAGAAGUGUGUAUGUGUGUGAGAGAGAGAGAGAGAGAGUGAGCAUACAUGCAUGUGUGUUUACUAUGGAGAGAAUGAGAAAAGGAGGCUGAAUCAUGCUCCUCCUGCCAGUUAGCCCUGUCCUAAGCUUUCCAUGUAGCUGGGACUUUUGGAUGCAGCCCAGACCUGGUAGCCCGAACCUCUGCCUUUCCCACAUUUUCUUUGCUCUUGUUUGUUAUAGUGCAUGUCUAGGGCAUAGCUUCAUGGUCUGCGCGGGGAAACUAAUAAGCAUGGUGAAUGGUCUAGAGCACAAGUCUUACGAGAAGUGGCUGAGGGAACUGGGGUUGUUUAAUCUGGAGAAGAGGAGGCUC